rnacentral:lncRNA from 1 species
GGCGGCGGCGACGCCACGUCGGGCCGGGCUGCAGAGAUCCUCCGCGGUGGGUUCCGGGGCCGCCUCCCGAGCGGGAGCGCGGUCCGCAGCGGGCUGGGACCGCGGGAGGGAGCGAGUAGGGCCAAGGGAUGCUCGGACGCGCCGGUGCUGAGAACUAAUUCUGGGUGGACGUGCAAUUCACAUGCGCCGUGGGUGUUUUUUCUGGGCAGCGGCCCUGGAGCCGAAGAGCAGGGAGUUAGAACAGCGUCUACCAGGGAGCUGACCUAGUUUCGGGAAUUUUUUGGCGAUGCCCCAAAGGAUACUCUGCAGGGCGGUGGAAAACCAAAUCUUCAAUUCAAUUCUGAAGUGCGGCUCCCUUGGUUUUCAUCCCGAGCUCGAUAUGAAGUUUAGCGCUGCAAUGUAUCACUUUGUUCCUUGCUUGUAUUGGGGGAGACACGUUUAAUAUUCAGAAGAAGAAUGAAGCCAAUUGCAAGUAGCUUCUGGAAAUGGAGGAAUGGCAGAAAUCAGGACUACUCCCUUCCCAAGCCCAGGUCCAAGUCUUUACCCUACUUUUUUUUGGGGGGGGGAGUAGAGGGGAUGCCCUUGGCACGAGGAAAUUCCCAGGCCAGGGAUCAAACUCGCAUGACAGCAGUGACUUGAGCCACAGCACUGACAAUGCCAGAUCCUUAACCUGCUGAGCCACCAGGGAACUCGUCCCCUACUUCUUUCCGCCCCAAAGUUGGGAUUACAAGAAUCCCUUUUCCAUGUGUCGUAUAUUCCACUCCAUACCCAUUCCCAGCUGAUUUGCCUCUCCAUCCUCUGAUGAAUCCUUGCCCAUAAUUUGUAUUGCUUCCAGCCUCUGGAACACAAGCCACCUGGCACUGGCCCUCCCUGGAUGGGAUCCAGGGAGCUCUGUUCUUCCGUUCAACAAAUAUAAAUGCCAACGACAUUCAGGACAGUUUGCUGAAUUCCAAAAUCUACAGUCAGGGUUCCUAUGCUCAAGAUACCUAACAUUCACCUUGGUGUUUGAAGAUUCCCCAAGAUGUGGGUUUGGGAAAUAGACGAAAGAAGAGGCCCACGAUCCCUGCGAUGGACCCAAACCAAAACCAAAUUAAUGAAACUUGAUCUGUAGAUGUGGGAUCUUUGUCUUUUAAUAUGUGAGCCUGUCCGAACACGUGUAAAUGAGGAUUAACAUGGAAUCAGAAGAAAACUUGGGAGUUCUCUAAUCGCCUAGUGGGUAAAGGCUCCUGCCUUUUCACUGCUGUGGCUCUGAUUGCUCCUGUGGCACAGGUUUGAGCCCUGGCCCAGAAACCUCCACAUGCUGUGGGUUCAGCAGAAGAGAAAAAUAAAUAAGAGCAACCCUGAACUUUGCAAUUCUCAUUAAAAAAAAAAAGAGAGAGAGAGAGAGAGGAAAAGUCACCAUUGACACUGCAGUUUAAAAAAUACUUACUGCCUCAAUUAAAGGAAACUGCUGUCAGCCUCCUUUAAUCCAAGUAAUCUACAAUAGGGUGCUGUUUUUCGUUCUUAAACACGCUCAAGGAUCAUAAAUUUUACUGUCUUUUAUAGCUUUGGCAAGGUGCCAAAGCU